GUUGAUUGGCUUGCGUAUAGGCACAAUCCAAGAAGAAACUAUAACUUUAAACUCACAUGGGGUGGGACGUAAUGUGUGCUCGUUUUAGUUCAUUGCUUAAGUCGUUGGUCCACAUAAAGAUAUAUCUUUUGAGAAUCGAAGUGGCAUGAGGACCCAAGAAAAGAAAAAACAAAAGUGCACGUAUGUACUUGUUCGAUACAUACAUAACAAAUAAUAUACUAUCAAUUAUGUAAACUCUUGAAGUGGACUAGCGUACGAUACUGUCCUACCGGUUUCAGAAAUAAAAGUGGUAAAAAGACAUGUCUUCCUCUUGUCGAUCUCUCAUUCGUUGCUCCAUUACGUCUUCCUUUUUUCUCCUCGUAUAAAUGUAUCUAACUUGCGUCUAACAUGCGAACAUGCAAAAAUUGGGUGGCCCAAUAGACUAGCUAAGGCAUACGGCAUACCCAUAACAAUUUGUGAUUAAAAUUGUUGGAAAAUGGCAUUUGCCCAUAACAGUUAAU